rnacentral:lncRNA from 1 species
GGAAUUAGAAACAUUUUCAACUUCCUCAAGUACUCCCAUAAUUUCCCCUAGUUUUCCAUUUGGAGAUAGUACUGGUGUUUAGAACCACGCAUAGUUUAAUUGGAAAAGCUUUGUUCCCCACAACGUAGUAUUAUGUUGGGAGGGAGGUGAGCUAGUUUAGUGUCCUAGUGAUUACAUUUCAUCUUCUUCUACAACUUAGUAUUAUGUUGGGAGGGAGUUGAGCUAGUUUAGUUUCCCAGUGAUUACAUUUCAUCUUCUUCUAGUUCUUAGCUUACUGUUGUGAUAUUGUACUUUUUUUUUUCCGGUCGGAGUGUUAUUGUAGUUCAUGUUUAGGAAGUGUAUUCUAAAUGUUCAUCCAAUGUGAAUUCUAGCUAAUUCAGUUAAUCAUCUAUAAACCAAAUCACCCAUUUUCUGUAGAAUAUUCAUCAAAGAGUGCUGCAAAACGUGCCAUCUUACAUAUACUUGCCAGUGGCUGUGUCCUCUUUGAAUUGGUGUAAAUCAUUCUUUUUUCCUCGAUUGCUCAGGUGGCAGAGUAGUUUUUAUUUGUGGUUAUUGCAUUUAGAAGUCGCACAGCAAUUGGCUUGCCGAAAUUCAAAUUCUUUAUUCACCAAUUGCAAUAAAAAUUUAUUUUCUUCACAAUUCAUUUACUUGGAUCGAAAAUUGAUCAAAUUCUUGAGAAAAUAGCGAUGGGGCGAUCAUAUGGUCUUGAAGGUCACAUUAGCUCUAAAUUUUAAAUGAUCAAGAGAAAAUGGGACAAUUACUUAGAAAAGUCUCGCAACUUGUCAACAUAAUACAUUUGAGUUUUAAAACUUUCAUUUUAUUCGUCUAAGUCUUAAAAUUUGUAACUUGGUGCGCAUGAUCCUUCCGUUAAGCUGCGAAUGCCUUCCAAGCCACUUCAAUACCCAAGCCAUCAUGUGCUGCGUAUGACAAAGGUGAAACCUUGAUUGAAUUGGAAAAUUGGUCAACUUUAUCCGGUGUUCCACUAAUUUCUUCUUCAUCCCAAUGUGACGAUGAGAUUGAGUUUAAUUAAGGAUGAUCCUUCCCAUUUAAUCAAUGUGACACCGAUGACACGUUGGUUUUGAAAAAAAAUAAUAAAAAUGCAACAGGUGAAUCACACAUAAUGUAUCCUGGGGUGGUGUUCUUGUAAUACAUGAAUCUUGGGGAAGGGAAACCUAUCUUCUUCUGUUUGGGUUGCAUCAGAGGGAGUCAGGAAUUGGGAAUGCAAGCCCAUGAGCGCCACUACCCAAACCGACCGACUUGUGGAACCUGCUGAUGGCAUAUGAUUAGUUGGAUAGGCUUUAAAACGGUUUUGGUACGUUGGAAGAAGCUACAUGCGCC